UUAGCAAAUAUAUAAAAAUAAUGCGAAUAAGUACACCAAACAAGCCAUAUAAGCACUCUUUGAGCAUUUCUCGUCAAUUAUUCAGUUAGUUGCAUUAGAUAAACUAAAGAGACAAGCUCAGAUGUGUUCAACGCUGCGAGCCCUAUUUUUGCUCAGCAUUCUGGCCAUUUGCCUGUAUUUGGCCAUGACUGAAGAUGUGUCUGCUCCUCAAGUUAUAACCCAAAGUGAGCCCAGACACACAACCGCAGACGAUUUUCAGUUUUGAUUUUGAAAUUUUGACAACACUAUGGCUAGAAUCUUAAUACCAGACGGAAGGAAAUAAUUUUGGUUGAGCCAAUAAAUUGCUGAAUUUUUAAACAAAAAAA